rnacentral:rRNA from 1 species
GCAACAGCUCAAAUUUGAAAUCUGGCCCCCUGCGUCCGAGUUGUAAUUUGGAGAGGAUGCUUUUGGCGCGGUGCCUUCCGAGUUCCUUGGAACAGGACGCCACAGAGGGUGAGAGCCCCGUACGGUUGGCCGCCAAACCUGUGUAAAGCUCCUUCGACGAGUCGAGUAGUUUGGGAAUGCUGCUCAAAAUGGGAGGUAAAUUUCUUCUAAAGCUAAAUAUUGGCCAGAGACCGAUAGCGCACAA